GGUGAAAUUUCAUCAUGACCUGACAUUGACCUCAAAUUGAAGGUCUUGAACUACUGAUCAUCUUUGCAGUUUAUAGUAGGUUGAUAUCUGUUACCUUUAAAAAGAUAUACACACAAUACUAUACUUUUAAGAAUCAUCCCGUCGUAACUUUUGAACAGACAGUCGGACUCUUUUGAGCUCAGUGUAUAAAAUGUAGAGCUCGUCGAGAGGAACAUUUUAUACGCUGUAAGUAUGCAGCAAACUCUUAUCGUUUUCUUAAUAUGAAAGCUUGAAAUUGCAGCGUAAUUUUUUUUGCACUCGGUGACCUUUGACCUUGGGUGCAAAUUAAAGGUCACAUGAACUUAAGAUUAUUGGUGUAGGUCCCAAGUCUUUACGACUUCCGGUUCUCGAAGAUACAAUUUUUCAAAAAUUGUGUAUAUUUUUUCAAGGGAAAUAACUCCUUAUAAGGGUUAACAACAAAAUGAUUGUAUAUGUUCAUUAACAUUGCCAUCUGUUCUUGUACAUGUUGCCGUUUUCAAAUCGAUUCUAUCUUGAAUACUUUUUGAGAAAAAUGUAAAAGAAAGAAAUUGCUUCAAGGGGACAUAACUCUCAUAGGGAAUGAUGAAAUCCUUAGCAGCCUCAUAUGGUAACACAUCAUGAUGAGAUCUAACUAUUGUCCAAAUAAGGUCAUGAUAUCUUUCAAAACAACGAGGGGGGGCCAUGUCGAAAAAAAAUCAAUAAAAGGGAGAUAACUUCUAAAGGGGAUGAUGAAAUCCUACACAGCCUCAUCUGGUAAUACUUCAUGAUGAGGUCUACCGAUGGUCCAUAUUUGGUCUUGAUAACUCAAUAGAAACAAGGGGAGGCCAUGUCAAACAAAUGCUGGAUGAAAAAAAAAAAAAAAAAAAAAAAAAAAAAAAAAAAACUAGUAUCUCAAUUGUUUGUAAAACAAUUGAAAGGUCUUUCCUGUAAAAGUGAUGUUUUCGUAAUGUACUUUGUACGACCUUUCGUUUGAUAUACGACAAGCAUACCUUCUGAAACUUUUUCGCUUUUUUACACUUAAUGACCUCAUCCGCCUACAUUUUUGAGAUCGGAAUUAUGAUAUAUGUAACAUAGAGUAGAUGAGCUUUCAUUUGAUAUGCGACAACGCCAUGUUCUAGAAAGUUUGAUUUUUGCACUUAAUAACCCUAUCCAACUAAUUUUUGGAGGUCGGGAAUUUGAUAUUUCAAAUGUACACAUCAUGACCUUUCAUUUGAUAUACAACAACCCUAUCUUAAAAGAAAAUUUAUUUUUUGCACUCAAUGACCCCAUCCAACCCAUUUUUGGGAGACGUCAAUUUGAAAUUUGAAAUGUACGCUUUAUGUUCUUUCAUUUGAUAUGCGACAACCUUACCAUCUGAGAAAUUUGAAAUGUUUGCACUAAAUGACCCCACCCGUCCCCCUGGGAUGAAAAGGGGGUUUAAAAUUUUCAUUUUUAAGUAGAGUUUAUUGAGACCUUCAAUUUGAUAUAUCAGAUGACCCCAUUUGACAAAGUGCAAAUAAUGAUGCAAUAUCAACUAUAUAAAUAGAAGUUUAUGAAACUUACAAAGUCAAUGCAAAAACUUGAAAAUUUCAAAAUUGAAUUUUUUGGCGUUUUUUUCCAUGGAAUGUUUUUGGUAUUUGGUCAAACAUAUAACUAUGUUAACCUCUUCAAUUUCUAAACAUUUUAAGUGGUAUAAGCUCUUGUUGAUUCAGAAAAUACAUGCCUCCGCUCGCAAAACUUCAAACUGCAUUAUCUCUAAAACGACAAUAGAUAUCUCAAAUCUGUUAAAUGAUAAAUGAUCUACAGUUGAAGGGACAACAUUAUAGAAAAGAAUUGGGACAAUUUCAAAGUUCACCAAAGGUCACAAUUAAUCAUCAAAUAUAUGAUGCAAUACCAAAACUUAAGAACCGGAAGUCGUAGAGACAUGGGACUAUCACCAUUCAACUCAGGACCACUUGACCUUUCAAAUAUCACAAGGUCAAGGUCAUAGUAUAAUGUGAAGGUCAAGGUGAAAUUUCAUCAUGACCUGACAUUGACCUCAAAUUGAAGGUCUUGAAUUACUGAUCAUCUUUGCAGUUUAUAGUAGGUUGAUAUCUGUUACCUUUAAAAAGAUAUACACACAAUACUAUACUUUUAAGAAUCAUCCCGUUGUAACUUUUGAACAGACAGUCGGACACUUUUGAGCUCAGUGUAUAAAAUGUAGAGCUCGUCGAGAGGAACAUUUAUAACGCUGUAAGUAUGCAGCAAAGUCUUAUCGUUUUCUUAAUAUGAAAGCUUGAAAUUGCAGCGUAAUUUUUUUUUGCACUCGGUGACCUUUGACCUUGGGUGCAAAUUAAAGGUCACAUGAACUUAAGAUUAUUGGUGAAGGUCCCAAGUCUUCUACGACUUCCGGUUCUCGAAAUACAAUUUUUUCAAAAAUUAUGUAUAAUUUUUCAAGGGAAAUAACUCCUUAUAAGGGUUAAUAACAAAAUGAUUGUAUAUGUUCAUUAACAUUGCCAUCUGUUCCUGUACAUGUUGCCGUUUUCAAAUCGAUUCUAUCUCUUAUACUUUUUGAGAAAAAUGCAAAGAAAGAAAUUGCUUCAAGGGGAUAUAACUCUCAUAGGGAUGAUGAAAUCCUAUUCAGCCUCAUAUGGUAAUACAUCAUGAUGAGAUCUACUAUUGUCCAAAUAAAGUCAUGAUAUCUUUUAAAACAACGAGGGGGGACCAUGUUGAAAAAAAUCAAUAAAAGGGAGAUAACUUCUAAAGGGGAUGAUGAAAUCCUUACAAACAGGGUCAUCUGGUAAUACAGUUCAUGAUGAGGUCUAGCGAUGGUCCAUAUUUGGUCUUAAUAACUUCAACAGAAACAAGGGGAGGGGCAUGUCAAAAAAUGUUGAAGAAAAAAAAAAAAACUAGUAUCUCAAUUGUUUGUAAAAAAUUGAAAGGGUAAAAGUGAUGUUUUCGUAAUGUACUUUGUACGACCUUUCGUUUGAUAUACGACAAGCACACCUUCUGAAACUUUUCGCUUUUUACACUUAAUGACCUCAUCCGUCUACAUUUUUGAGAUCGGAAUUAUGAUAUAUGGAACAGAGUAGAUGAGCUUUCGUUUGAUAUGCGACAACACCAUGUUCUUGAAAGUUUGAUUUUUGCACUUAAUAACCCUAUCCAACAAAUUUUUGGAGGUCGGGAAUUUGAUAUUUCAAAUGUACACAUCAUGACCUUUCAUUUGAUAUACAACAACCCUACCUUAAAAGAAACAUUUAUUUUUUGCACUCAAUGACCCCAUCCAACCCAUUUUUGGGAGACGUCAAUUUGAAAUUUGAAAUGUACGCUUUAUGUUCUUUCAUUUGAUAUGCGACAACCUUACCAUCUGAGAAAUUUGAAUGUUUGCACUAAAUGACCCCACCCGUCCCCCUGGGAUGAAAAGGGGGUUUAAAAUUUUCAUUUUUAAGUAGAGUUUAUUAAGACCUUCAAUUUGAUAUAUCAGAUGACCCCAUUUGACAAAGUGCAAAUAAUGAUGCAAUAUCAAUUAUAUAAAUAGAAGUUAUGAAACUUACAAAGUCAAUGCAAAACUUGAAAAUUUCAAAUUGAUUUUUGGUGUUUUUUUCCAUGGAAUGUUUUUGGUAUUUGGGUCAAACAUAUAACUAUGUCAACCUCUUCAAUUUCUAAAACAUUUUUAAGUGGUAAGCUCUUGAUGAUUCAGAAAUACAUGCCUCCGCUCGCAAAAACUUCAAACUGCAUUAUCUCUAAAACGACAAUAGAUAUCUCAAAUCUGUUAAAUGAUAAAUGAUCUACAGUUGAAGGACAACAUUAUAGAAAAAGAAUUGGGACAAUUUCAAAGUUCACCAAGGUCACAAUUAAUCAUCAAAUAUAUGAUGCAAUACAAAACUUGAGAACCGGAAGUCGUAGAGACAUGGGACUAUCACCAUUCAACUCAGGACCACUUGACCUUUCAAAUAUUCACAAGGUCAAGGUCAUAGUAAAAUGUGAAGGUCAAGGUGAAAUUUCAUCAUGACCUGACAUUGACCUCAAAUUGAAGGUCUUGAACUACUGAUCAUCUUUGCAGUUUAUAGUAGGUUGAUAUCUGUUACCUUUAAAAAGAUAUACACACAAUACUAUACUUUUUAAGAAUCAUCCCGUCGUAACUUUUGAACAGACAGUCGGACAUUUUUGGGCUCAGUGUAUAAAAUGUAGAGCUCGUCGAGAGGAACAUUUUAUACGCUGUAAGUAUGCAGCAAACUGUUAUCGUUUUCCUAAUAUGAAGCUUGAAAUUGCAGCGUAAUUUUUUUCUUGCACUCGGUGACCUUUGACCUUGGGUGCAAAUUAAAGGUCACAUGAACUUAAGAUUAUUGGUGUAGGUCCCAAGUCUUUACGACUUCCGGUUCUCGAGAUACAAUUUUUCAAAAAUUGUGUAUAUUUUUUCAAGGGAAAUAACUCCUUAUAAGGGUUAACAACAAAAUGAUUGUAUAUGUUAAUUAACAUUGCCAUCUCUGGUCCUGUACAUGUUGCCGUUUUCAAAUCGAUUCUAUCUUGAAUACUUUUUGAGAAAAAUGCAAAGAAAAGAAAUUGCUUUCAAGGGGACAUAACUCUCAUAGGGAAUGAUGAAAUCCUUAGCAGCCUCAUAUGGUAACACAUCAUGAUGAGAUCUAACUAUUGUCCAAAUAAGGUCAUGAUAUCUUCAAAAACAACGAGGGGGGGCCAUGUCGAAAAAAAACCAAUAAAAGGGAGAUAACUUCUAAAGGGGAUGAUGAAAUCCUACACAGCCUCAUCUGGUAAUACUUCAUGAUGAGGUCUACCGAUGGUCCAUAUUUGGUCUUGAUAACUCCAAUAGAAACAAGGGGAGGCCAUGUUAAACAAAUGCUGGAUGAAAAAAAAAAAAAAAAAAAAAAAAAAAAAAAAAAAAAAAAAGAAAAACAAUAAGGUCUUUCCUCGCGGAGAGGAAGACCUUAAACUAGUAUCUCAAUUGUUUGUAAAACAAUUGAAAGGUCUUUCCUGUAAAAGUGAUGUUUUCGUAAUGUACUUUGUACGACCUUUCGUUUGAUAUACGACAAGCAUACCUUCUGAAACUUUUCGCUUUUUAACACUUAAUGACCUCAUCCGCCUACAUUUUUGAGAUCGGAAUUAUGAUAUAUGUAACACAGAGUAGAUGAGCUUUCAUUUGAUAUGCGACAACGCCAUGUUCUAGAAAGUUUGAUUUUUGCACUUAAUAACCCUAUCCAACUAAUUUUUGGAGGUCGGGAAUUUGAUAUUUCAAAUGUACACAUCAUGACCUUUCAUUUGAUAUACAACAACCCUAUCUUAAAAGAAAAUUUAUUUUUUGCACUCAAUGACCCCAUCCAACCCAUUUUUGGGAGACGUCAAUUUGAAAUUUGAAAUGUACGCUUUAUGUUCUUUCAUUUGAUAUGCGACAACCUUACCAUCUGAGAGAAAUUUGAAUGUUUGCACUAAAUGACCCCACCCGUCCCCCUGGGAUGAAAAAGGGGGUUUAAAAUUUUCAUUUUUUAAGUAGAGUUUAUUAAGACCUUCAAUUUGAUAUAUCAGAUGACCCCAUUUGACAAAGUGCAAAUAAUGAUGCAAUAUCAACUAUAUAAAUAGAAGUUAUGAAACUUACAAAGUCAAUGCAAAACUUGAAAAUUUCAAAUUGAAUUUUUGGCGUUUUUUUCCAUGGAAUGUUUUUGGUAUUUGGGUCAAACAUAUAACUAUGUUAACCUCUUCAAUUUCUAAAACAUUUUAAGUGGUAAGCUCUUGUUGAUUCAGAAAUACAUGCCUCCGCUCGCAAAACUUCAAACUGCAUUAUCUCUAAAACGACAAUAGAUAUCUCAAAUCUGUUAAAUGAUAAAUGAUCUACAGUUGAAGGACAACAUUAUAGAAAAAGAAUUGGGACAAUUUCAAAGUUCACCAAGGUCACAAUUAAUCAUCAAAUAUAUGAUGCAAUACCUAAACUUAAGAACCGGAAGUCGUAGAGACAUGGGACUAGCACCAUUCAACUCAGGACCACUUUGACCUUUCAAAUAUCACAAGGUCAAGGUCAUUAGUAUAUGUGAAGGUCAAGGUGAAAUUUCAUCAUGACCUGACAUUGACCUCAAAUUGAAGGUCUUGAAUUACUGAUCAUCUUUGCACUUUUAUAGUAGGUUGAUAUCUGUUACAUUUAAAAGAUAUACACAAAAUACUAUACUUUUAAGAAUCAUCCCGUUGUAACUUUUGAACAGACGGUCGGACAUUUUUGGGCUUAUAAUAUAAAAUGUAGAGCUCGUCGAGAGGAACAUUUUAUACGCUGUAUGUAUGCAGCAAAGUCUUAUCGUUUUCCUAAUAUGUAAGCUUGAAAUUGCAGCGUAAAUUUUUUUUGCACUCGGUGACCUUUGACCUUGGGUGCAUAUUAAAGGUCACAUGAAAUUUAAGAUUAUUGGUGAAGGUUCCCAAGUCUCUAUGACUUCCGGUUCUCGAAAUAAAUUUUUCUAAAAUUUUUAUAAUUUUUCAAGGGAAAUAACUCUCCUUAUAAGGGUUAAAACAAAAAUAAUUGUUUAUGUUUAUUAACAUUGUCCUCUGUUCUUGUACAUGUUGUGCCGUUUUCAAAUCGAUUCUAUCUCUAAUACUUUUUGAGAAAAAUGCAAAUAAAAGAAAUUGCUUUCAAGGGGAUAUAACUCUCAAAGGGGAUGAUGAAAUCCUAUUCAGCCUCAUAUGGUAAUACAUCAUGAUGAGAUCUACCUAUUGUCCAAAUAAGGUCAUGAUAUCUUUUAAAAACAACGAGGGGGGCCAUGUUGAAAAAAAAUCAAUAAAAGGGAGAUAACUUCUUAAAGGGGAUGAUGAAAUCCUACAAAAAGUUCAUCUGGUAAAAGUUUCAUGAUGAGGUCUAUCGAUGGUCCAUAUUUGGUCUUGAUAACUUCAACUGAAACGGUAGGAGGCCAUGCCAAAAAAAAUGUUGGAAGAAAAAAAAGAAAAAAAAGAAAAAACAUUAGAACUAGUAUCUCAAUUGUUUGUAAAAACAAUUGAAAGGUCUUCCUGUAAAGUGAUGUUUUCGUAAUGUACUUUGACAACCCACUUGAAAAAAUUACAUUAUUUAAUAAUUUAACAAACGAAAUUUGACUAUAAUGGUCAAAUUGUCAUGACACCCAAAUAAUCCCCAAUAAGAGACAUUUGGCUAUGAGCAAUAAAUAGACAAUUGUAUGAUAUAAUUUUCUCAAGUAAAAAAUUAGGAAACUCUGCAGCAGCUGAUUUAAAGCAUUACUUAAAAUAUCAGUUACAUGUGACUUAGCAGCUAUAAAAAGUAUUCAGUUGUAUGUGACUAAGUCUGUCUCUCCAUCCGUCAGUCCAGCAAAUCAGUUUUCCACACUUUUUGCAUCAUGCUUGAAGAUAUUCAUUUGAUAUUUGGUGUAUUGUUUUAUCAUGACAAGUUACAUGUACAGAUCAAGUACGAAUUUUGUUCCAGUCUGAUGAUUUUGUGCAGCGUUUAUGGUCCUUUGACUUAAAAAAUUCACUCAAAUAAUCAGGUUUCCACACUUUUUUCGUCAUGCUUGAAGAUAUUGAUUUGAAAAUUGGUAUGUAGUUUUAUCAUGACAAGUUACAGAUCAAGUUUAAAUUGUUUUCUGUCUGGAUUGUGUGCAGAGUAAUGAUCCUUGGACUUAGAAAAUUCAUUUAAAUUAUCAGUUUUCAACACUUUUUUCGUCUUCUUAAAGAAAUAGAAUUGAUAUUUGUUAUAUUAAAUGUUCUGCUCCUACUCUGAAUACAGCAGGCUGUGCAGAGAAAAAGCAUUAAUAGUAAUACCAUAUUUCAAGUCUAAAUUAGUUUUAACCUGGCAGCUGGGGAUCAAACUCAGGACCUCCAUCAAUACAAAGCAUGUCUGACAAACCCUAGAUGUGGUUGGGUUGGUCAACCUUAAAAUUCAAUAGACAGGGACUAUCAAUAAGCACUGUACAUUUACAUAAAAAGUUAAAAUGCAGAUUUUAGUUGUAAUCAGAGAUAAGAAAUUGUCUUUUUAUUUAUUUAAAAUAAAUACAUGUUACCAGUUUAAAUAAGCAACAAAUUAACAUGGCCCCUCUUGUGCACCUCAACCUUCCACUUCAUUUUUUUAUUUAAAACCUGCACAUUCAUCAUGUUCAAAUAUAAUGCAGAUAUUAUAGGGGAUUGAACAUAGUUCUAACUGGAUUAUCUCCCAUUUACCAGAAAAAUAAUCGACUAAAAAAAAGAAUUAAAUGUAAAACUGCAUGCAUGUUCAUGUUAUUUGUAUUAAAAGGAGAUUUGUCAAACUCUUAGAUAAAGUAUUAUGUAUGUCAAUUCUCCAGACAAAUCUCUUAAGAAUAUGAAAAAAGUAUGAUAGAAGCAUCCAAAUAGUGCUUCGAAAUACAUGAAAUAUAUGAUAAACAUCUCGACAUCUGGGAGUUAUUAAAAUUGUGCAAUAAAUUAACACAAAUGCAAUCAGAUAAUGAUCUUUAAUAAAUUGCUGCAUUACAAAUAAUGAAAGCUUUCAAAAUGCACAUGUGACUGUGUGAUUAUUUUUGCGACGACCCAUAACUUAUACAUUGCAAUAAUUCCAUCAUGUAUAGCAAUUCAUAAUUUUUUAUCAUUAGAUAUUUUUUUAUCACAUUGUAUUUUAGUUUUUGCUGCAAAUAUAGAUUCUAUGUUAAUUGCCUCUUACUAGAACAGCAAGAUACAGUACACUGAAAGGCAGAGUCAACCAUGUCCUAUAAAAGGUAUUUAUAGCUCAUAAUGUUAAAUUUAAUGUGAAAACAAAUUUAGGAGAAAAAAAAUCAUUAAAAGUAUAAAUUUAUCAGAUAACCUUAGCUUUAUUUGGUAGAACCUUUAACAACUUUAGGUCACCAACCNNNNNNNNNNNNNNNNNNNNNNNNNUAUGACCUUGUUCGUUGAUAUACGACAAGCAUACCUUCUGAAACUUUUCGCUUUUUACACUUAAUGACCUCAUCCGCCUACAUUUUUGAGAUCGGAAGUAUGAUAUAUGUAACACAGGGUAGAUGAGCUUUCAUUUGAUAUGCGACAACGCCAUGUUCUAGAAAGUUUGAUUUUUGCACUUAAUAACCAUCCAACAUUUUUGGAGGUCGGGAAUUUGAUAUUUCAAAUGUACACAUCAGACCUUUCAUUUGAUAUACAACAACCCUAUCUAAAGAAAAAUUUAUUUUUUGCACUCAAUGACCCCAUCCAACCCAUUUUGGGGACGUCAAUUUGAAAUUUGAAAUGUACGCUUUAUGUUCUUUCAUUUGAUAUGCGACAACCUUACCAUCUGAGAAAUUUGAAUUUUUGCACUAAAUGCCCACCCUUCCCCUGGAUGAAAAAGGGUUUAAAAUUUUCAUUUUUAAGUAGAGUUUAUUGAGACCUUCAAUUUGAUAUAUCAGAUGACCCCAUUUGACAAAGUGCAAAAAUGAUGCAAUAUCAACAUAUAAAUAGAAGUUAUGAAAUUACAAAGUCAAUGCAAAACUGAAAAUUUCAAAAUGAUUUUUUUGGUGUUUUUUUCAUGGAAUGUUUUUGGUAUUUGGUCAAACUAUAACUAUGUUAACCUCUUCAAUUUCUAAAACAUUUUAAGUGGUAAGCUCUUGUUGAUUCAGAAAUACAUGCCGCGCUCGCAAAAAUUCAAACUGCAUUAUCUCUAAAACGACAAUAGAUAUCUCAAAUCUGUUAAAUGGUAAUGAUCUACAGUUAAGGACAACAUUAUAGAAAAGAAUUGGGACAAUUUCAAAUUCACCAAGGUCACAAUUAAUCAUCAAAUAUAUGAUGCAAUACCAAACUUAGAACCGGAAGUCGUUGAGACAUGGGACUACACCAUUCAACUCAGGACCACUUGACUUUCAAAUUCACAAGGUCAAGGUCAUAGUAUAAUGUGAAGGUCAAGGUGAAAUUUCAUCAUGACCUGACAUUGACCUCAAAUUGAAGGUCUUGAAUUACUGAUCAUCUUUGCAGUUUAUAGUAGGUUGAUAUCUGUUACCUUUAAAAAGAUAUAACCAAAAUACUAACUUUAGAAUCAUCCCGUUGUAACUUUUGAACAGACGGUCGGACAUUUUUGGGCUUAUUAUAUAAAAUGUAGAGCUCGUCGAGAGGAACAUUUUAUACGCUGUAUGUAUGCAGAAAGUCUUAUCGUUUUCCUAAUAUGUAAGCUUGAAAUUGCAGCGUAAUUUUUUUUUGCACUCGUGACCUUUGACCUUGUGCAUAUUAAAGGUCACAUGAAUUAAAGAUUAUUGGUGAAGGUCCAAGUCUACGACUUCCGUUCUCGAAAUACAAUUUUUCUAAAAUUUAUCAAUUUUUCAAGGGAAUAACUCCUUAUAAGGGUUAAUAACAAAAUGAUUGUAUGUUCAUUAACAUUGCCAUCUGUUCUGUACAUGUUGCCGUUUUCAAAUCAUUCUAUCUCUUAUACUUUUUGAGAAAAAUGCAAAGGAAAGAAAUUGUUCAAGGGGAUAUAACUCUCAUAGGGAAUGAUGAAAUCCUAUUCAGCCUCACAUGGUAAUACAUCAUGAUAGAUCUACAUAUUGUCCAUUAAGGUCAUGAUAUCUUUAAAACAACGAGGGGGGCCAUGUUGAAAAAAAAUCAAUAAAAGGGAGAUAACUUCUAAAGGGGAUGAUGAAAUCCUUAACAGAGUCAUGGUAAUACAUCUUGGUGAGGUCUACGAUGGUCCAUAUUUGGUCUUAUAACUUCAAAGAAACAAGAGGGGCAUGUCAAAAAAUGUUGGAAGAAAAAAAAGAAAAACAUAGAAAACAAUAGUCAUAGGAAAGUAAAAAACAUAGAAAAACAAUAAGUCUUUCCAGUAGGAAAGACUAAAAAAAAAAAAACUAGUAUCUCAAUUGUUUGUAAAACAAUUGAAAGGUCUUUCCUGUAAAAGUGAUGUUUUCGUAAUGUACUUGUACGACCUUUCGUUUGAUAUACGACAAGCAUACCCUCUUGAAACUUUUCCCUUUUACACUUAAUGACCUCAUCCCUACAUUUUUGAGAUCGGAAUUAUGAUAUAUAAAUAGAGUAGAGAGCUUUCAUUUGAUAUGCGACAACCAUGUUCUAGAAAGUUUGAUUUUUGCACUUAAAACCCUAUCCAACUAAUUUUUGAGUCGGGAAUUUGAUAUUUCAAAUGUACACAUCAUGACCUUUCAUUUGAUAUACAACAACCCUACUUAAAGAAAUUUAUUUUUCACUCAAUCCCCAUCCAACCCAUUUUUGGGAGACGUCAAUUGAAAUUUGAAAGUUACGCUUUAUGUUCUUUCAUUUGAUAUGCGAC
rnacentral:lncRNA from 1 species